rnacentral:rRNA from 1 species
UUAAGCGACUAAGCGUACACGGUGGAUGCCCUGGCAGUCAGAGGCGAUGAAGGACGUGCUAAUCUGCGAUAAGCGUCGGUAAGGUGAUAUGAACCGUUAUAACCGGCGAUUUCCGAAUGGGGAACCCAGUGUGAUUCGUCACACUAUCAUUAACUGAAUCCAUAGGUUAAUGAGGCGAACCGGGGGAACUGAAACAUCUAAGUACCCCGAGGAAAAGAAAUCAACCGAGAUUCCCCCAGUAGCGGCGAGCGAACGGGGAGCAGCCCAGAGCCUGAAUCAGUGUGUGUGUUAGUGGAAGCGUCUGGAAAGGCGCGCGAUACAGGGUGACAGCCCCGUACACAAAAUGCACAUGCUGUGAGCUCGAUGAGUAGGGCGGGACACGUGGUAUCCUGUCUGAAUAUGGGGGGACCAUCCUCCAAGGCUAAAUACUCCUGACUGACCGAUAGUGAACCAGUACCGUGAGGGAAAGGCGAAAAGAACCCCGGCGAGGGGAGUGAAAAAGAACCUGAAACCGUGUACGUACAAGCAGUGGGAGCACGCUUAGGCGUGUGACUGCGUACCUUUUGUAUAAUGGUCAGCGACUUAUAUUCUGUAGCAAGGUUAACCGAAUAGGGGAGCCGAAGGGAAACCGAGUCUUAACUGGGCGUUAAGUUGCAGGGUAUAGACCCGAAACCCGGUGAUCUAGCCAUGGGCAGGUUGAAGGUUGGGUAACACUAACUGGAGGACCGAACCGACUAAUGUUGAAAAAUUAGCGGAUGACUUGUGGCUGGGGGUGAAAGGCCAAUCAAACCGGGAGAUAGCUGGUUCUCCCCGAAAGCUAUUUAGGUAGCGCCUCGUGAAUUCAUCUCCGGGGUAGAGCACUGUUUCGGCAAGGGGGUCAUCCCGACUUACCAACCCGAUGCAAACUGCGAAUACCGGAGAAUGUUAUCACGGGAGACACACGGCGGGUGCUAACGUCCGUCGUGAAGAGGGAAACAACCCAGACCGCCAGCUAAGGUCCCAAAGUCAUGGUUAAGUGGGAAACGAUGUGGGAAGGCCCAGACAGCCAGGAUGUUGGCUUAGAAGCAGCCAUCAUUUAAAGAAAGCGUAAUAGCUCACUGGUCGAGUCGGCCUGCGCGGAAGAUGUAACGGGGCUAAACCAUGCACCGAAGCUGCGGCAGCGACACUAUGUGUUGUUGGGUAGGGGAGCGUUCUGUAAGCCUGUGAAGGUGUACUGUGAGGUAUGCUGGAGGUAUCAGAAGUGCGAAUGCUGACAUAAGUAACGAUAAAGCGGGUGAAAAGCCCGCUCGCCGGAAGACCAAGGGUUCCUGUCCAACGUUAAUCGGGGCAGGGUGAGUCGACCCCUAAGGCGAGGCCGAAAGGCGUAGUCGAUGGGAAACAGGUUAAUAUUCCUGUACUUGGUGUUACUGCGAAGGGGGGACGGAGAAGGCUAUGUUGGCCGGGCGACGGUUGUCCCGGUUUAAGCGUGUAGGCUGGUUUUCCAGGCAAAUCCGGAAAAUCAAGGCUGAGGCGUGAUGACGAGGCACUACGGUGCUGAAGCAACAAAUGCCCUGCUUCCAGGAAAAGCCUCUAAGCAUCAGGUAACAUCAAAUCGUACCCCAAACCGACACAGGUGGUCAGGUAGAGAAUACCAAGGCGCUUGAGAGAACUCGGGUGAAGGAACUAGGCAAAAUGGUGCCGUAACUUCGGGAGAAGGCACGCUGAUAUGUAGGUGAAGUCCCUCGCGGAUGGAGCUGAAAUCAGUCGAAGAUACCAGCUGGCUGCAACUGUUUAUUAAAAACACAGCACUGUGCAAACACGAAAGUGGACGUAUACGGUGUGACGCCUGCCCGGUGCCGGAAGGUUAAUUGAUGGGGUCAGCGCAAGCGAAGCUCUUGAUCGAAGCCCCGGUAAACGGCGGCCGUAACUAUAACGGUCCUAAGGUAGCGAAAUUCCUUGUCGGGUAAGUUCCGACCUGCACGAAUGGCGUAAUGAUGGCCAGGCUGUCUCCACCCGAGACUCAGUGAAAUUGAACUCGCUGUGAAGAUGCAGUGUACCCGCGGCAAGACGGAAAGACCCCGUGAACCUUUACUAUAGCUUGACACUGAACAUUGAGCCUUGAUGUGUAGGAUAGGUGGGAGGCUUUGAAGUGUGGACGCCAGUCUGCAUGGAGCCGACCUUGAAAUACCACCCUUUAAUGUUUGAUGUUCUAACGUGGACCCGUAAUCCGGGUUGCGGACAGUGUCUGGUGGGUAGUUUGACUGGGGCGGUCUCCUCCUAAAGAGUAACGGAGGAGCACGAAGGUUGGCUAAUCCUGGUCGGACAUCAGGAGGUUAGUGCAAUGGCAUAAGCCAGCUUGACUGCGAGCGUGACGGCGCGAGCAGGUGCGAAAGCAGGUCAUAGUGAUCCGGUGGUUCUGAAUGGAAGGGCCAUCGCUCAACGGAUAAAAGGUACUCCGGGGAUAACAGGCUGAUACCGCCCAAGAGUUCAUAUCGACGGCGGUGUUUGGCACCUCGAUGUCGGCUCAUCACAUCCUGGGGCUGAAGUAGGUCCCAAGGGUAUGGCUGUUCGCCAUUUAAAGUGGUACGCGAGCUGGGUUUAGAACGUCGUGAGACAGUUCGGUCCCUAUCUGCCGUGGGCGCUGGAGAACUGAGGGGGGCUGCUCCUAGUACGAGAGGACCGGAGUGGACGCAUCACUGGUGUUCGGGUUGUCAUGCCAAUGGCACUGCCCGGUAGCUAAAUGCGGAAGAGAUAAGUGCUGAAAGCAUCUAAGCACGAAACUUGCCCGAGAUGAGUUCUCCCUGACUCCUUGAGAGUCCUGAAGGAACGUUGAAGACGACGACGUUGAUAGGCCGGGUGUGUAAGCGCAGCGAUGCGUUGAGCUAACCGGUACUAAUGAACCGUGAGGCUUAACCUU